ACACGAACAGUACACGGUGCGAUUGGACGAAUAAUAACGUUGGCUGCUGCACAAAGAGAAAGGCCGGAGAAGCCAUCAUCUGGUGCUGUGUACAGCAAGCACAUGCUUCGGGCAAGGAGGGAGCCAGCACCAUAUCUACAUCAGCAAGAACCUCGGUGCUCAAAAUAAACAUUUUCUGUGCAAA